rnacentral:rRNA from 1 species
AACGAACGCUGGCGGCAUGCCUAACACAUGCAAGUCGAACGAAGUCUUCGGACUUAGUGGCGCACGGGUGCGUAACGCGUGGGAAUCUGCCCUUGGGUGCGGAAUAACUUCUCGAAAGGGAUGCUAAUACCGCAUAAUGUCGUAAGACCAAAGAUUUAUCGCCCAAGGAUGAGCCCGCGUAAGAUUAGCUAGUUGGUGGGGUAAAAGCCUACCAAGGCGACGAUCUUUAGCUGGUCUGAGAGGAUGAUCAGCCACACUGGGACUGAGACACGGCCCAGACUCCUACGGGAGGCAGCAGUGGGGAAUAUUGGACAAUGGCGAAAGCCUGAUCCAGCAAUGCCGCGUGAGUGAUGAAGGCCCUAGGGUUGUAAAGCUCUUUUACCCAGGGAUGAUAAUGACAGUACCUGGAGAAUAAGCUCCGGCUAACUCCGUGCCAGCA